rnacentral:rRNA from 1 species
GACGAACGCUGGCGGCGUGCUUAACACAUGCCAGUCGAACGGUGAAGCGCCUUCCUUUUUGGUGGGUGUGGAUGAGUGGCGAACGGGUGAGUAACACGUGAGUAACCUGCCCCCUUCUUCUGGAUAACCGCAUGAAAGUGUGGCUAAUACGGGAUAUUCUGGGUCUGUCGCAUGAUGGGUCUGGGAAAGAUAUUGUUUCGGUGGGGGAUGGGCUCGCGGCCUAUCAGCUUGUUGGUGGGGUGAUGGCCUACCAAGGCGGUGACGGGUAGCCGGCCUGAGAGGGUGGACGGUCACACUGGGACUGAGACACGGCCCAGACUCCUACGGGAGGCAGCAGGGGGGAAUAUUGCACAAUGGGCGCAAGCCUGAUGCAGCGACGCCGCGUGAGGGAUGGAGGCCUUCGGGUUGUGAACCUCUUUCGCCAGUGAAGCAGGCCUGCCUCGUUUGUGGGUGGGUUGACGGUAGCUGGAUAAGAAGCGCCGGCUAACUACGU